UGGAGCUCAAGGCAGGCAUCUGUGUGACCUUGCACGGUUAACGUGCCCUUUCCGCCUCAGUUGGUGGUCCCUCAAGGCCGUGGCUCCUGGCCUCACAAAGGGUGGUUCGGGGCAAGGGUGACCCACCCAUCACUGAUGCCCCUGGCACCUCUAGGGCUAUACCCCAGUGCCACUAGUCACUCCUCUGGGCUCUGCAGAGCAGUGGUAGCCCCACUGCCUGGCCAUGGAGGCUCCUAGCAGGACCAGACAAGGGGAAUCUGGGGGAACGUCUUGGAGUCUGUGGCUGUCCUCGCUGUGACCUUGCAGGGCCAUGCUUCCCUCUGCAGCCAGGAAGGAAGCGGAGGAAAACCCGAGUGAUGGGGUUGGCUUCUGGAGGGCCUGUCCUUCCUCCCAGGGGACAUGGGCCCUGCUGCCUCAUCUUCUUCUUGGUCCUUCCAGCUCUUCAGUUUCCCCAUCUAGCAUCCUCGUCCUCUUGCAGUCUUUUCUCCACUUAAUUCAGCUUGUCUGCCCGCCUCCGUUUAUUAAGCUCCUAUUGUGUGCUUAGGAGUAUGCUCAGAGUACAAACAGAGGAUGGGACCUGGUUCCCAUCUGUGGUUGUCGCACAUUCAUUUAUUCGCACAGCCAGCACGUUACAGCCUACGGGGCUCUCUGCAUGGCUAAGCUCUAGAAACGCAGGGUCUUGUUGCAAGUCUGGCUUAUUCCUCUCUCAGCAGGUCCAAGCUCCCUGUUCCUGCCAGGUACUGAACUGACUGGUUACGAAAUGCUCACAGCCAGACAGGGAAGGGCAGAGGCACCAGGCACUCAGGUUCUCGGUGAAAAGUGCCACAAGAGAGGAAGUUCAAGGUGCCUCAGGAACAGUCUUUCCGGAGGUCAUGAAGUUGGACUUGGGUUUCGAAGGAUGUGCAGGAGUUGUGAGGUGGAGAGCAGAGGACAGAGUGAUGGAGACUGGAGGAGGACCUUGAGCUGCCUCUGGGAGAAGCUUGAGCACACCAGAGAAUUAGGCAAGGGCCUCUUCGUCUGGGGACCGGGGGGAUCAGAGGUGGGUGAUUUCCUGGACAGUGUGGCCAGAGAGGGAAGGUGAAACAGCAGAAGACCCCCCCAUUCUAACAGCCCCCCGGGGGUCAGAUUUGGGAUGAGGGCCAUCAACAGCCCUGGCCUUUCGUUUUUAAGUUGUUAGUGUUUGCAGUGAUUCUUUCCCGCUCCAUGAGGCAACAUGGUACAAAUUACACCAGGAGAAGCGGGUCCAGAGCUGCCGUCCGCAGACCUUUCUGUCAUGCUGGGAAGUAUCCAUGUCUGCAGCGUCCCGUGUGCUACCAAUGAGCUACCCACAGCCUGGGCAACGCAGGAAUGGAAUUUUAAUUUUAUUUCAUGUUAAUUAGCUUAACUUUGAAUUGAAAUCAUCACCUGUGGCUAUUCUACUGGACAGCUCAGGUCUGGAGUCAGAGACCCUCUCCCUGCCCCCAGCCAGCCCCUCCCCAUCCUGGAUGGGCUGUUGAGCCGGGCCGGUGAGAAUUUUCUGAGCAACGUCCCUGCCACCAAGAUGCAAGAGGCUAGUGGCCCCUGCCUGUCAGUGGGCACUGGGGGCUGGGGGGCUGCCUAGAAACCAGGUGGUACAUGGCUCCAGCACCAUCUGCCUCUGCAGUUCUCAGAACCGCUGCAGAAGCUCUCAAGCAGAGACAGGCAGUGGCAUAUCGCCCUUCCAAGGAGCAGGGACUGUGCAGCCAUCGGACCCAGACACACAGCCAGUGCCCACCCCGCAGCGCCUGCCCCACAGCCCCCGCCCCAUAGCACCCACCCCACAAGCCGUGCUUCAUUCGUGAAGUUGCUACGCGGCCCGCGCCUCCUUCACAAGAGGAUGGGCUCUUCCCAGCUGAACCCCCAGUGUGGUGACUCAGACCCCGUCUGAACUGGGGUGAAUAUAGCGUCCCCUCAAACGUCAUGUCUGCCCAGAACCUCAGAACGUGACCCUAUUUGGAAAUUGGGUUUUUGCAGAUGUCAUCGAGUUGAGAUGAGGUCACAUGGGACUAGGGUGGGCCCUAAAUCCAAUCUGAUUGGUAGUUUUUAGGAGAAGAGGAGAGACAGGCAGGAAAGGCCACGUGAAGACAGGCGAGAGUGUAGCCGUGGCAGCCACAGCCACGCAGCGCCCACACCCACCGGGAGUGGGAAUGAGGCAGGAAGGACCUACCUCCUUUAGAGCCUUCUGUGGGGGCACAGCCCUGCCCACCCCUGGAUUUCAGACUUCUGGGCUUCAGAACUGAGAGAGAAGAAAGAUCUGUGGCUUUAUGCUAUUUGCAGUCCUGUGUUAUGGUGGGCCCUGGAGACAUACAGGUGGGGGUGGUGGCAGAUACCUGCCUUGGCCUGCUGGCUGCUGCUCCAGCCUCCCUUGCGCUAGAUGUUGAGAGGCUGAGGGGCCCAGGAGCACCUCAUGUUUUCUGUGUUCCCUGGAGGAGACAACGUUCUAUAAAUCAACAAGAGCUGCUAGGUGCUCAUGUGGGCAGGUGGGGCCUUCACGGAUGCCAGGAGCUGGGACCCGUCUAUCCCUGAUUCUGCUGCCCUGGGGCACACCCCUGGGCCUUCGUCUCCUCAUGUGUAAAAGGGGCAGCAGGGUAGAGCAGGUGAUGUCCGCAGAAGCGCCCAUUCCUGCACCCCCUUCAGAGGUCUAGAUCCUCAACUUGACCUCCCAGGCCCAGGGCAUCGUAGCCAGAAGGAAUGAUGAUGUAGGAGGCUGUCACCAUGGUCCGCCUGCCUGGCUCCCAGGCCAGCCCCUCGCUCGCUAGCUCCUGCUGCUCCUGAGGAGGUGCCCGGUCACCGCAGAGAGGCACCCCGAGUGGAGGCGGCCACACCACGAGUGGAUGCUGUGGCUGCCCCGACUUUGAUCCCAGGGCGGGAACGGAGAGCACUGUGACUCCAGCCCUGGCUCGGAGCACCAUGUCCGUCAAUAGAAGAGGAAGGCUUUGUGCAGCAGUAGCGUGGGGCCUGCCGGGCAAUUGAUUUAAAUCAUUUUAUAGAGAACCUAUGUAAAAUAAAAAGCCUUUAAUCACAUUUGUAUCCAUUUCCAGGCUCAGUAAAUCAAUUUGAAUUGAGCUGGGUGCCACGGUUACAGCUGAUUAGCGUGUGUAUGUAUGGUC
rnacentral:lncRNA from 1 species